ensembl:lncRNA SNHG1 small nucleolar RNA host gene 1
GUUACUCUUUUGUACUUUGUCUUUUUCUUUUAUUUUCUUUUGAGCGAUUGUGCGAACAUAGCAUAGCACGCACUAUGCCUUCUGUGUUGUAGCUGCCUGGCCAGGGCGACUGGCGGAUAAGGUCUUGUGCGUGGCCUCGAGGCUUAAAAGUAGCAGUGGGGCUUUGUGAAGGACAAAAUGGCGAUGGCGGGCCGUGUAGGUCCCCCUUCCUAUGAUGAGGACCUUUUCACAGACCUGUACUGAGCUCCGUGAGGAUAAAUAACUCUGAGGAGAUGGGCCCUGCAAGCCUCUUGCUUAGCCGUCUGUUCAGAAAAUAGCGUUUUCGAAAUGCCCUGAGUUGACCUAAUGUCUUAUUGGGCUCCUGUCUGCAGGAUUUACGCGCACGUUGGAACCGAAGAGAGCUCUGUUGUUGCAAUGUUCAGCCCACAAGAGCUUACUGGUGAAGGAAUGGGACAAGACCCAUCUUUAUGCAAAGCCAGCGUUACAGUAAUGUUCCAGCAUCUCAUAAUCUAUCCUGGGGAAUUCAGCUGCCUCCCAGGGUGAAUACAGGUAUUCCUGAUGACAGUCUGCCUCUAUCUUACAGUAAGUUGUUUUUCGAAUUCUAUGGGCCUAUUAUCUAAUAGAUAACUUAGCCAUUUUGAUAUUUGUUACCAAAGCCUGCUUAACCCAUAAAGUUUUCUGGUUCCUCUUGUUCUCUGUAGUGAUGUUUCUAGAUAGAUGCCCACUGAUAUAUGCCCCUUUUUUCUCAGAUAGAUGCCCACUGAUCUGCCCAGGGUCAGACGAAUGCUUGUCAGUUGUAGCUUUCCAGGAUUCUGCUCCAAUGAGGAGGAAACAUCCUGCCUUACCCCUGUUUUAGCCUGGGAACCAGUAAUUGUGAACUCACCAGGGUUAACAUGAAGAGGGCAUGAGAGCUUAUUCCAUAAGGAAUUGUCUGAGACAUUUGGUUACCUUUUCUUAGUUUGUCCAUUAGCAACCGUAACUAAAAUAGUUUUGGCUGUUUGGGAUAAUUAGCUAAUUGAAUGAUUUUUUGAUUCAGGAGCAGCUUGUUGCUAUAUACCAUUGAAAAGCCUUCAGAGCUGAGAGGUUAGUUGAUAUUUUUUGUUCCUUACAGCUUAUGCCACCAAGUAGGCAGUUUCUAUGAUGAAUCAAACUAGCUCACUAUGACCGACAGUGAAAAUACAUGAACACCUGAGAAACUGGAGAACGCAGGGAGUGGGGGGUAACCAUGUCUGAGGAAUCUUUCACCCACAGCUUUGUUUUUCUCUAGGUACUACUAACCAAUAACCUGCUUGGCUCAAAGGGCCAGCACCUUCUCUCUAAAGCCCAAGAGGAGUUUGAGGAAAACUAGGUGUCUGUGUUCACUCCAGGCUGAAGUUACAGGUGAGUAAACCUAAAUGUAAGGUGGACUAUGCUAAAAAUUCCCAAUGAAGAAACUUUCACAUGUCUUACUCUCUGUCCUAGUCCCAGAGCCUGUAAAGGUGAACCCACUGGGACUGGCUGGGGGAGAAGAGGAAGAUUUGUUCCAGAAGGAACUGUCUGAGGGAUGAUAAAGAUUUCUAUACAGAGAAAGGGAGUAAUCAUCACUUGUUGAAAACAUUGGUUUUAUUUUUUCCAGGUCUGAGCAAAUAAGGUGUAUAAAAAAUGGAAUCUGUCUUGGAGGACAUCAGAAGGUGAAUUUUCCAAGUUCUUGGACAACCUAGCUGUUGAAAAGCUUUCUGGGUUUGGGGGGUAUUUCAGAUGUACCUUAAAGUGUUAGCAGACACAGAUUAAGACACUGGGAGCCAAUGAAACAGCAGUUGAGGGUUUGCUGUGUAUCACAUUUCUGUAUUUUAUCACCCCCUUCCUGCAACAUUAUUUAUCUGGAAUCUACCUGCCCUUUUGUUUUUUAGAUACAAGGGCUUGGUUUUGUUACCCAGGCUGGUUUCAAGGCCAUAGCUUUAAGAGAUCCUCUCACCACAGAUUUCCAAAGUGCUGGGAUUGCAGGUGUGAUUCAUGGCACCCAGACUUUGCUGCCUUUCUUACAUGAUCCAGGCCCAGAACCCAAACUCAGGCACUGUAUAGAUGACCACUUUCGUAAACUACUGACCUAGCUUGUUGCCAAUUGUUGAUUGAACUUCCCAUAACUCCACUUCGUGUCUGUUCCUCUGUAUACAGCCACCUUCUGUUCCCGUCAUGAGCCUUUAGGUCUCCAUUUGCAUAUUGCAAAUACUAUGUUCCAUGUAGGUAGCUCAUUCAGGGCCUUGCUCUUCACUUCAAAAAAGGUUCCCUUGAGGACUGGCUGUCAAUUUGUGUUGCUGUGUUGGUUGUUGAUGAAAAUAAUAAAAUGAUUGAUUACA